rnacentral:rRNA from 1 species
CUACGUGCCAGCAGCCGCGGUAAUACGUAGGUGGCAAGCGUUGUCCGGAAUUAUUGGGCGUAAAGCGGGCGCAGGCGGUUAGAUAAGUCUGAAGUUAAAGGCUGUGGCUUAACCAUAGUACGCUUUGGAAACUGUUUAACUUGAGUGCAAGAGGGGAGAGUGGAAUUCCAUGUGUAGCGGUGAAAUGCGUAGAUAUAUGGAGGAACACCGGUGGCGAAAGCGGCUCUCUGGCUUGUAACUGACGCUGAGGCGCGAAAGCCAGGGGAGCGAACGGGAUUAGAUACCCCGGUAGUCCUGGCCGUAAACGAUGGGUACUAGGUGUAGGAGGUAUCGACCCCUUCUGUGCCGGAGUUAACGCAAUAAGUACCCCGCCUGGGGAGUACGACCGCAAGGUUGAAACUCAAAGGAAUUGACGGGGGCCCGCACAAGCGGUGGAGUAUGUGGUUUAAUUCGACGCAACGCGAAGAACCUUACCAGGUCUUGACAUUGAUGGACAGAACUAGAGA